rnacentral:rRNA from 1 species
UGGGGAAUAUUGGGCAAUGGGCGAAAGCCUGACCCAGCAACGCCGCGUGAGUGAUGAAGGCCUUCGGGUUGUAAAACUCUUUGGACAGGGACGAAGAAAGUGACGGUACCUGUAGAACAAGCCACGGCUAACUACGUGCCAGCAGCCGCGGUAAUACGUAUGUUGCGAGCGUUAUCCGGAAUUAUUGGGCUUAAAGGGCAUCUAGGCGGUAAGACAAGUUGAAGGUGAAAACCUGUGGCUCAACCAUAGGCUUGCCUACAAAACUGUUGAACUAGAGUACUGGAAAGGUGGGUGGAACUACACGAGUAGAGGUGAAAUUCGUAGAUAUGUGUAGGAAUGCCGAUGAUGAAGAUAACUCACUGGACAGAAACUGACGCUGAAGUGCGAAAGCUAGGGGAGCAAACAGG